ACCCCCGUGAGAAUGCCCCACAAUGUCCUAGAUGGAAGUGAGGAGCCGGUAUCAGGCACAAUCCUUUAGCCCACGACGCCUUGCUAAGCCACACCCCCAAGGGAAUUCAGCAGUGAUAGAUAUUAAGCCAUGAGUGAAAACUUGACUUAGUUAAUGUUUAUAGAGUCGGUAAAUUUCGUGCCAGCCACCGCGGUUAUACGAGAGACUCAAGUUGAUGACCUUCGGCGUAAAGAGUGGUUAAGGGAAUACUAUACUAAAGCUAAAUGACUUCAAAGCUGUUAUACGCACACGAAAGUACGAAGCCCAACUACGAAAGUGGCUUUAACCCUCUGACCCCACGAAAGCUAGGAUACAAACUGGGAUUAGAUACCCCACUAUGCCUAGCCCUAAACAUCGAUAAUAAUUUACUUCCUUUAUCCGCCUGGGGACUACGAGCAUCAGCUUAAAACCCAAAGGACUUGGCGGUGCUUUAGAUCCACCUAGAGGAGCCUGUUCUAGAACCGAUAAUCCCCGUUAAACCUCACCUUUCCUUGUCUUAUCCGCCUAUAUACCGCCGUCGUCAGCUUACUCUGUGAAGAACAAGCAGUAAGCACAAUUGGUACAACCCAAAACGCCAGGUCGAGGUGUAGCGUAUGGAAAGGGAAGAAAUGGGCUACAUUCAAUAAUUAUAAUGAAUACGAAUGAUACACUGAAAAAAUAUCUGAAGGAGGAUUUAGUAGUAAGCAGAGAAUAGAGUGCUCUCCUGAAUUUGGCCCUGAAGCGCGUACACACCGCCCGUCACUCUCCCCGAGCUAAAAUUUAUAUAUUACUAAUCAACCAUAACUGCAAAGGGGAGGCAAGUCGUAACAUGGUAAGCGUACCGGAAGGUGCGCUUGGAAAAACCU
rnacentral:ncRNA from 1 species